UUUCCUUCGGGACAGAAGAGACAGGUGGUGCAUGGUUGUCGUCAGCUCGUGUCGUGAGAUGUUGGGUUAAGUCCCGCAACGAGCGCAACCCCUAUCUUCAGUAGCCAGCGGUCCGGCCGGGCACUCUGGAGAGACUGCCAGGGAUAACCUGGAGGAAGGUGGGGACGACGUCAAAUCAUCAUGCCCCUUAUGAUCUGGGCGACACACGUGCUACAAUGGCGGUUACAGAGUGAGGCGAACCCGCGAGGGGGAGCGAACCACAAAAAGGCCGUCCCAGUUCGGACUGUAGUCUGCAACCCGACUACACGAAGCUGGAAUCGCUAGUAAUCGCGAAUCAGAAUGUCGCGGUGAAUACGUUCCCGGGUCUUGUACACACCGCCCGUCACACCAUGGGAGUCGGAAAUGCCCGAAGCCAGUGACCCAACCAUCAGGAGGGAGCUGUCGAAGGUGGAGCCGGUAACUGGGGUGAAGUCGUAACAAGGUAGCCGUAUCGGAAGGUGCGGCUGGAUCACCUCCUUUCUAAGGAA
rnacentral:rRNA from 1 species